CACACUUGACAAAAUGUGGGAGUAUGUCCAAGAAAAAUAUAUGGUUCCUGAAGCUGGAAGAGAAUGGGUGAUGUAGGCUAUCAAUGGAAGCUGGAAAGCUCAUAAAUGCUUUACUAAGAGGAACUACUUCUCUGCAUAUCCCACUGAUGCUUUACGAUGGUUUCAUAAGCCAGACACAAUUUCAGAACCUCAAUUUAGAGAGCUUUUGCAAUACUGGCAUUCUAAAGAGGCUGAGGAAAUCAGUAAAAUCAACAAAGACAAUCGCCA